rnacentral:tRNA from 1 species
UCCCCUGUGGCUCAGUGGGUUAGGGAUCAAGCAUUGUCACUGCUGUGGCUUGGGUUCAACUCCUGACCUGGGAA